CAGUCGCCGCGGGAAUACGUAGGGUGCGAGCGUUAAUCGGAAUUACUGGGCGUAAAGCGUGCGCAGGCGGUUUUGUAAGACAGGCGUGAAAUCCCCGGGCUCAACCUGGGAAUGGCGCUUGUGACUGCAAAGCUAGAGUGCGGCAGAGGGGGAUGGAAUUCCGCGUGUAGCAGUGAAAUGCGUAGAUAUGCGGAGGAACACCGAUGGCGAAGGCAAUCCCCUGGGUCUGUAACUGACGCUGAGGAGCGAAAGCGUGGGGAGCGAACAGGAUUAGAUACCCGAGUAGUCCCUGUCUCUUAUA
rnacentral:rRNA from 1 species